rnacentral:tRNA from 15 species
AGAGCUUGCUCCCAAAGCUUGGGUGUCUAGCUGAUAAUUAGACUAUCAAGGGUUAAAUUCCCUUCAAGCUCUA